rnacentral:rRNA from 1 species
GUGCCAGCAGCCGCGGUAAUACGGAGGGUGCAAGCGUUGUUCGGAUUUACUGGGCGUAAAGGGCGCGUAGGCGGCUUUAUAAGCCAGAUGUGAAAGCCCACGGCUUAACCGUGGAAGUGCAUCUGGAACUGUGAGGCUUGAGUAUGGGAGAGGAAAGUGGAAUUCCCGGUGUAGAGGUGAAAUUCGUAGAUAUCGGGAGGAAUACCGGUGGCGAAGGCGACUUUCUGGACCAAUACUGACGCUGAGGCGCGAAAGCGUGGGUAGCAAACAGGAUUAGAAACCCCAGUAGUCC